GGAGAGGUCGCAUAAUCUGGUAUUGCACCAGUCUCGAAAACUGGCGGGUGCUCGCAUCCUUGAGAGUUCAAAUCUCUCCCUCUCCG
rnacentral:tRNA from 1 species